CCAUGGUUCGCGUGCAAUGCCAUCAUCACUGCUGUGCCUAGUAUUGAGGGCGUAAUCAACCCAUCACUGGCGAACUACCACUCUUAAAACCACUAGGAGGAGCUUCGGAUUCUAGCUUAGUCUUAGAAUCGCCCAACAUUUGCCUAUUGACUUAUGUGAUGGCUGGUAUAUUAGGUACCGCCAAAGGACGAUAAAAACUCCCUGCUUUGACGAUUUCAAGCUCCUCAUGGGCCUCCGGAUGAAGAUACUGAUGAGACACUAGAGGAUAAGACCUGUAGCGAUCCAAUCUGACGAAAGCAGAUAGCAAAAUCUGUAGAUAUCGCGGGAAGUCCAUACUGAUCAUCGUAUUGCUGGAACUAGGAGCUUCUUUGACACCACUACAAUUGUGGAAGGAAGCCAAUGCACACUUGACAGUCCAGUUAACUCCACCAAACAUUCAUUAUUGACUAAGCUUUUGUGGCUUUUGCCUUCAAUGCAUAGCCGUGAAUGAUUGUAUAGCCCUUGAGUUUCUUUGGAUCUCCUCUUAUUUUGCUGAGACAGCAGAAGUAGCUUGGAUCUCCCCACACGGCAGGGGCCAAAGGAGCUCACUGGUGGAAUUUGCAACUGAACAACAAGAUACCCUCAAGAUCUCUGAGAGGUUUUCAACUAUCAGAAGAUAUGCACCCCACAUCAAGUUUACUCAGUUCAGGAGCCUCUUCUUACCCUAAGAUAUUGACAUUUUCCAGUCCGAUCCGCAAUACAUUAGUGAGGGUGAAUCUGUUAGAGAUUCUCAGCGAUAGGGGAUCUUUUGUAAGUUUUCGCUUUAGAAAGCUAUGUCUGAUGUGCUGAGGCUAUUUUUUUUAUUAUUUCUCCAGAGAAUUAUAUCUCAAAUUAUCACAAAAGCAAUUGAUCAUCCUCAUGACAUAGCAGCCACCUGAGAGCUCAACGAUGUACCGAAGCAGUUGGCGAUGCUUGUAUGGGCC
rnacentral:sRNA from 1 species